rnacentral:rRNA from 1 species
AUGGACGUGUGGAAGAUGCUCGGUCUUGAUCUUGUUAUCAAACAGGCACUAAAAGUUGACAAGGCAGGUGAGCUUGUGUUGGCACAUCUUCUGUGCCUUCCAGGACAACAAAUCCAAGUGUUGGGCUUGCCGAAGUUCAGAGAAACGAUGGCAACGACGGCUUAG